AGACCCGAAACCCGGUGAUCUAGCCAUGGGCAGGUUGAAGGUUGGGUAACACUAACUGGAGGACCGAACCGACUAAUGUUGAAAAAUUAGCGGAUGACCUGUGGCUGGGGGUGAAAGGCCAAUCAAACCGGGAGAUAGCUGGUUCUCCCCGAAAGCUAUUUAGGUAGCGCCUCGUGAAUUCAUCUCCGGGGGUAGAGCACUGUUUCGGCUAGGGGGCCAUCCCGGCUUACCAACCCGAUGCAAACUGCGAAUACCGGAGAAUGUUAUCACGGGAGACACACGGCGGGUGCUAACGUCCGUCGUGAAGAGGGAAACAACCCAGACCGCCAGCUAAGGUCCCAAAGUCAUGGUUAAGUGGGAAACGAUGUGGGAAGGCCCAGACAGCCAGGAUGUUGGCUUAGAAGCAGCCAUCAUUUAAAGAAAGCGUAAUAGCUCACUGGUCGAGUCGGCCUGCGCGGAAGAUGUAACGGGGCUAAACCAUGCACCGAAGCUGCGGCAGCGAACGUAUCACCCAAGACAACUUUACGGAGUUGACGAUUGACGGAGCGAAGCGACGUCAAAGCGUUCAUUAAAGUCGAGUUGGCUUAGGGAUACGUUCGUUGGGUAGGGGAGCGUUCUGUAAGCCUGUGAAGGUGUGUCGUGAGGCAUGCUGGAGGUAUCAGAAGUGCGAAUGCUGACAUAAGUAACGAUAAAGCGGGUGAAAAGCCCGCUCGCCGGAAGACCAAGGGUUCCUGUCCAACGUUAAUCGGGGCAGGGUGAGUCGACCCCUAAGGCGAGGCCGAAAGGCGUAGUCGAUGGGAAACGGGUUAAUAUUCCCGUACUUGGUGUUACUGCGAAGGGGGGACGGAGAAGGCUAUGUUGGCCGGGCGACGGUUGUCCCGGUUUAAGCGUGUAGGUGUGUGUUCCAGGUAAAUCCGGUUCACUUUAACACUGAGGCGUGACGACGAGGCACUACGGUGCUGAAGCAACAAAUGCCCUGCUUCCAGGAAAAGCCUCUAAGCAUCAGGUAACACGAAAUCGUACCCCAAACCGACACAGGUGGUCAGGUAGAGAAUACCAAGGCGCUUGAGAGAACUCGGGUGAAGGAACUAGGCAAAAUGGUGCCGUAACUUCGGGAGAAGGCACGCUGACACGUAGGUGAAGUGAUUUACUCAUGGAGCUGAAGUCAGUCGAAGAUACCAGCUGGCUGCAACUGUUUAUUAAAAACACAGCACUGUGCAAACACGAAAGUGGACGUAUACGGUGUGACGCCUGCCCGGUGCCGGAAGGUUAAUUGAUGGGGUCAGCGUAAGCGAAGCUCCUGAUCGAAGCCCCGGUAAACGGCGGCCGUAACUAUAACGGUCCUAAGGUAGCGAAAUUCCUUGUCGGGUAAGUUCCGACCUGCACGAAUGGCGUAAUGAUGGCCAGGCUGUCUCCACCCGAGACUCAGUGAAAUUGAACUCGCUGUGAAGAUGCAGUGUACCCGCGGCAAGACGGAAAGACCCCGUGAACCUUUACUAUAGCUUGACACUGAACAUUGAGCCUUGAUGUGUAGGAUAGGUGGGAGGCUUUGAAGUGUGGACGCCAGUCUGCAUGGAGCCGACCUUGAAAUACCACCCUUUAAUGUUUGAUGUUCUAACGUGGACCCGUAAUCCGGGUUGCGGACAGUGUCUGGUGGGUAGUUUGACUGGGGCGGUCUCCUCCUAAAGAGUAACGGAGGAGCACGAAGGUUGGCUAAUCCUGGUCGGACAUCAGGAGGUUAGUGCAAUGGCAUAAGCCAGCUUGACUGCGAGCGUGACGGCGCGAGCAGGUGCGAAAGCAGGUCAUAGUGAUCCGGUGGUUCUGAAUGGAAGGGCCAUCGCUCAACGGAUAAAAGGUACUCCGGGGAUAACAGGCUGAUACCGCCCAAGAGUUCAUAUCGACGGCGGUGUUUGGCACCUCGAUGUCGGCUCAUCACAUCCUGGGGCUGAAGUAGGUCCCAAGGGUAUGGCUGUUCGCCAUUUAAAGUGGUACGCGAGCUGGGUUUAGAACGUCGUGAGACAGUUCGGUCCCUAUCUGCCGUGGGCGCUGGAGAACUGAGGGGGGCUGCUCCUAGUACGAGAGGACCGGAGUGGACGCAUCACUGGUGUUCGGGUUGUCAUGCCAAUGGCACUGCCCGGUAGCUAAAUGCGGAAGAGAUAAGUGCUGAAAGCAUCUAAGCACGAAACUUGCCCCGAGAUGAGUUCUCCCUGAGACUUAGAGUCUCCUGAAGGAACGUUGAAGACGACGACGUUGAUAGGCC
rnacentral:rRNA from 1 species